GCAACGAAAGAGAGAAAAGAGGAGAUGGAGAAGGAGAAAGAGAAGCAGGGGGUUGAUAAAGAUCCGAUGGGUAAAGCUAGGGAGAUUAUUAGAGAAUCUUUAAUUAGUGAAAGUGAUUAUGAUCCUAAUGAAGGAUUAGCAAAGGAUGAUAAGAGUAAAUCAGCAAAGGAUGAUAUUUUAGCUUAUUCAAGAACGGUUCACCACAAGGAUUCUUCGCUUGAAUGAUCUAGUUACUAGUAUAUAUAUAUAUAUCUCUUUCGGUUUUCGACUUUUUUCUCCUCGAGUUUUUAUUCCGUUUGCUUGUAAAUUUGUUUCGGUUUUUUAUGUUCUGAUUUUCUGUUGUGUGAAAUUGGAAAUGCAUAAUGCUUUUUUAAAUUGGUUGAGAAAAUGAUAAGUACA
rnacentral:lncRNA from 1 species